CGAGCGAAGCGGGAUGAGCUCAAAUUUGAAAUCUGGCGUCUUUCAGGCGUCCGAGUUGUAAUCUAUAGAAGCGUCUUCUGUGCUGGACCAUGUCCAAGUCCCUUGGAACAGGGUAUCAAAGAGGGUGACAAUCCCGUACUUGACAUGACCACCAGUGCUCUGUGAUACGUUUUCGACGAGUCGAGUUGUUUGGGAAUGCAGCUCAAAAUGGGUGGUAAAUUCCAUCUAAAGCUAAAUAUUGGCGAGAGACCGAUAGCGAACAAGUACCGUGAGGGAAAGAUGAAAAGCACUUUGGAAAGAGAGUUAAACAGUACGUGAAAUUGUUGAAAGGGAAACGAUUGAAGUCAGUCGUGUCUAUUGGUUUCAGCCGGUUCUGCCGGUGUAUUACCCUUAGACGGGUCAACAUCAGUUUUGGACGGCACAUAAGAGCAGUUUGAAUGUAGCACCUCCGGGGUGUUAUAGCUUUCUGUUGCAUAUGCUGUCCGAGACUGAGGACUGCAGCUCGCCUUCACAGGCCGGGGUUCGCCCACGUUCGAGCUUAGG
rnacentral:rRNA from 1 species